CCGCCCCCCGAAGGGAAGCAACCGGGCAGCAGGAAUGGUUGACGCGUCAAGCGCCAUCUUUCACGUGGGCGGAAGAAGUUGCUGUUUAGUUUUCGUUUCCUCGUGGGACGCCGUAGGUUCGUUUUGGAGUUUUCGAGUUGCGAUUACGUGAACGCGCGAGGCCUGUGGAAGGGGGCGGGCCAAGCUUGCUCCAUCCCUUUGUUCCAUGACGUGCUUCGUGAAAAUGUUGAAAAUGUCUUCUGUGCUGCUUCGGAGCUGGAGUUGAGGACUUCUUGAUUACCUCCCAUUUACCAGGAUUACAGCAAAUUAUAUUUAACUGUGACUGGCAUGCGAACUAUCUGACAUCGGACAUGGAUGAGGAAUACUGCUAUAUAAACCACAAUUUUAUUUAUUUAUUUGAGAGAGAGAGAAUGAGAGAUAGCA